UUUUUUCAAUUUAUGUACAUCAAUCAAACCACUAUGGAAUAUUUCUAAAUGAUUUGUUAUAAGUGCUACUGCUUUCUGUGCUCUGGUUCUGCCAACAAACAAUGCCCAACUGAGAAAACUGGGUCUGUACUCCCUGGCCCUGCAGCUGUCCGGUGCCUCCCUCUAUGCAUCUCUGUAGUUUGCAUAUUAAUAGUACUAACUGCUUGAACUAUGGUUGUGAUUUGCCAUGUGCUUCUGAAUUUUGGAUAGAUUUUUCUUUAGUUCAAGGUUUGUGGAGAUGGUCAUUGUGCUCCAGGAUCCUACAACGUGACAUCACAUCAACUGUAAAGGAGGUCUUUGAUAUCAUGGAUACAAGAAUAUCACUUAACAAACUGUGUCAACUCUUGAAACAGCACAAUGUGCUUGCAAUCUAGCCAAUUCAAAAAGAAGCUAUCGAAGAACUAUUGCAAGGCAGUACUGAGUUGGAGCAUUUGAGAAAUAGAGCUACCAAAAAAUCAUAUGGGCACUAAAUCCCCUUUCCGUCCCUCAGUAUAUCAUGUCAC